CCGUAUGAGACGUGCGCCAGUUGCCUGAUUCAAACUUAACUCAGUCAAGUUUGCUAGUGGAAAUGUUCCUCUUGCCAAAAGCACCACAAUAUGUCUGCCCUUCAGGAUUGCCAGGGCAGCGGAUCGGACGAGUGCCUGCACCGAGAGGAACUGGACUGGACCGCGAGACCAGAGGUUGCGCGAGGCGGAGGAUGAGUCCAAACGUCGAGCACCGGCCGAGAGGGGACCCGACCAUCGGCCGACUUUCGCCCGUGACGAGCGGCUUACAACGGACGGACGGGUGCAGAUGCGGCGAGGGCAAAGUGCCCAGCCAGCAUUUAAGGAGAGUAUGACUUUGUUUUUCCUUUGGUGCUUUCUUUCUUUCCCUCCCUCCCUCCCUCCACUUUUUCACUGGGUGUACACACUGGCUGUCUGCAUGAUGCCUCUUUCUUUCUCAGCGCAGCGUCAUUUUGCAAUAUUGUUGUUUUUUUUUAAUACAUGAAGUGAACUGUUUGGACUGUAAUUGUGUGUGUGUACCUCUGAACCUGAAUUAAACUGUGAACUGAAUUCAAGUGGUCCAUUUUAAACAUUGGCAUGAGCACUAUAGUGCGUAAUCAGAGUUAAAUGACAAUAUACAAACUGGAAUCAUUUGAGACAUUCUCAAUGAUAAGGCAAUUGUAAAGUUAGUCUCAAACAAAAUUGCCUUGUUAAUUAUGCAGUGUCAGGCUUUUUAUUUUUACUACACAAAGAAAAGCUGUAUGCAUUCUAAAUGGUUGACAAAAGCCAAAUAGCCAUAGAUUCAAACGACAAGCGUAAGCGUACAGUGUCUGUUGUGAUAAAUAAGUCAUCUUUGGCAAGCCUGCUUUAAAAUGGCCACCGAACUCAGAAUCUCCCUUUAUGUUGGUGCAUUUUUCUGUAAGAGUAAGUCUAUUUUAAUCGAGUCUGAGCCUUUUUUUUUUUUUAAUCAUGCUUGUGGGCAUUUUUGUGAAUAAAAACCACGUUGGUGUGUUUUCUUCCUGUUGGUGGUCUUGUAAAUAAAGUCAACUUUGGUGUCCGUCAUCAUUCAUGAUGCGCCUCAAUUGAUGCUGCAUCUCUUAAAUAUGAACCUUAUUGCAUGUUUUGUUACAGGGCUUGGCUUCAUUUGCUGGCUGACUACAAAGAAGGCUGUUGCCGUACAGUCCAGGGCGUUGCCAAAGUAAAUUGAAUCUAUAAACCUAGCGUGUAACGUCCAGGACCUUGGCUUUCAAUUCAAGGCACAGUUGCAUGUUGCGGCCAGCCUUGGUGCAUGUACUGGGUGCUACCACCCAGUUCAGUAAAGGCCACCCCGCAACCUGCUUAGGUGGCACGCCAGUGAGGCACUCUUAAUACCGGCAUCUUUAUUAAAUUGACCUGUUCAGACAGGCGCGAUGAAUUCCAAGUGCUGCCACCUUGUGGCGGCGUAUUUGCCUCAACCUGUCUAACGCUCCAUUUAAGUGUAUGCAAUCAUUUUUAACUUGAAACAACUACAUGACAAAUGAUAGGUGCCCUAAUUAGACAACCUGGUCAAUGCGACCCGUCUUUUGCGGUGUGUUUUGCCCAAAGCUACCUAACAAAUGCACACUUGCUCCAUUUUUGCUCCUCUUAUUUAUUGUGUUAUUUGUUUAUUUAUUCAUCACUCCUUCAUUGUUUGUGCCUUCUUUUUACUUUUUUGUGUUUACUUGUAUGUAUAUUGUGUACUAUGUCUUGUCACCGUGGGAUAGUGGGAACGUUAUUUCGAUUUCUUUGUGUAUCUUGGCAUGUGAAGAAAUUGACAAUAAAGCAGACUGACAAAUAC